rnacentral:rRNA from 1 species
AUACCCCAUUAUUUGCCCGACCCCUGUCUGCUCAGUUUUAGGUUGGGGUGACCACGGAGUAUAAAAUAACCUCCAUGAAGAAGGGGAUAUUUCCCUUAUUAGAGAACCACACUUCCAAGAACUAAUAAAUUAAUUUUCAAUGACCCGAUACCCGAUAAUCGAUCAACGAACCAAGUUACCCUGGGGAUAACAGCGCAAUCCACCCUGAAAGCCCUUAUUAACAGGUGGGUUUACGACCUCGAUGUUGGAUCAGGGUAUCCCAGUGGUGCAGCAGCUACUGAGGGUUCGUUUGUUCAACGAUUAAACCCU